GAGCAGGCACGGGGGAGAAGGGAAGGAGAGCGGGUUGGCGACAGCCGCCGCCUCCCUCUUGCGGAUUUGCUAGUCGAAGCCCACCCCCACCCGUCUCGGCAAUUUCCGCCAGUUUGAGCCGAAGCUCUCGGGCCACCUCCCUCACUCCGGACGAAUCCUUUAUGUCUGUGUCUUGCUUGCGCGUGCGCCGCCAGCGCCAUCUUUCACUCCCUCCCCCCUUCCCCCCGACUCUGGAACAGGGAAACCGGGAGAGAAAGGGAAGGGGUCUCGGGCGGAGAGAGAACAAGCCGAGGAGGAGGCGAGCGCAGCGUCUUCGCCUCACCGCCUGCUCGUGAAGCUUGCUGGCUUCUGCUGCAAAGACGAGAGAGCGACGGCGCAGGCACAAAGAAAGGGUGAAAAAAGGGGCUGCCCGGCUGCGUCAACUUUUCCCCUCGUGUGUCUCCACCCAUCCCCAAGAAUGCCCCCCGUCUCUCGCUGCUGCCGCUGCUCCUGAUGGGGCAGUGUCUGGCGCCCGCCGGCUCCACCGGGACUGUACGUAGCCUCGCCACCGCGGCUGCUCCUACUCUUCGAGGUCUUCCCUCUUUCAUGGCCGGCUGCUGCUUUUUCCCUUCUGAGAAACCUACUCCGUUCUACCGGGAAGAGUUAGAGGUUGGGAGGCGGGGGCUUUUGCAGGCUUUUUGAGCUAGUUGCGGGGGGCCGGGCGGCGAGGAUUGUUAGUCGUCUCACCCGCUCGUCAGCAGAGAGGGAACUCGACUAGGCGAGGAAGAAAGUGAAUGGCCAGGGCUUGAGUGUCAUAUUCCCGGGAGGGGAGGGAGGAGGGCGUUUAGGGGUGCUGCCGACUGGACUGCCCUAGGAGCCGGUGUGUCUGUCUCUCCCUCUCCCUUCUCGGGCUUGGCUGCCCCAGCCAGUCAGUUGUGAGGUGCGCGUGUCUCUGCUUGGUCUCUUUUUCCUUUCGCCCUCCGUUCUGGGGAAUUGCUCCUUAAAAUAGCCCUUAGUCAAUGCACCAGCCUGACUCAGCUGCAGACAGUAGUGUGAGGAAGAUGGCGCACCCGGCGAUGCUUCCUCGAAGGGGCAGCAGCAGCAACGUCGUCGUGCCGACCCUGGGUACAGCAGGCAUCAGCACUAGUGGCGUUGGAGGCAGCAGCUUGGAAGAUUAUCCGCCUCCCUUGCUCAUUCAGCCUCCUCCUCCUACCGCAGCAUCUUCCUCUUCUCCCGGGCUGCAGCCCCCACUGCCCCCUCCUCUGCAGAGCCUGGCCCUCCUCUCUCAGCCGCAGCCACCACCACCACAGUCCCUCAGUCAGGCAGGGGCCCAGAUGAAGAAGAAAAGCGGUUUCCAGAUCACUAGUGUGACCCCAGCCCAGAUCUCAGCCAGCCUCAGCUCCAACAACAGCAUCGCUGAGGACACAGAGAGCUACGAUGACCUCGACGAGUCCCACACGGAGGACUUAUCCUCUUCUGAGAUCUUAGAUGUUUCUUUGUCCAGGGCUACUGACUUGGGGGAACCUGAGCGGAGCUCCUCAGAAGAAACUCUGAAUAACUUCCAGGAGGCUGAGAGUCCUGGGGCUGUCUCUCCCAACCAGCCUCACCUUCCCCAGCAGCAGCAUCCCUCUUUGCCACAUCCUUCCCAGCAACAGAGUCUGGUGAUCAAUGGGAGUAUUCACCCUUCUCAUGGACAUCAUUACCACCACCACCACCAUGGGCAUCACCAUGCAUCACAGUCUGGGAUGGGUGGACCAACGGUUCCUGGAGGACCUCCAUCUAGCCCAUCAUUUAGAAAAUUAUCUACUCCUGGAAGCUCUGAUAGUGUUACAACAGCUGCAGUGCCAGUUUCUGCUGCAUCAUCCGCUGGUAUGCCUGUGGGCGCUCUUAUGUCUCAUUUCCGCACUAUUAAUACAUCUGGGGUCACUUCAGCCACUGGAGCUAUUACCAGCACGUUAAGCAGUGUGGCUAGUGGUAGCCCUAGUGGGGCAAGCAGCAUGCCCGGUCCUGUUCUUAUGAAUCUGAGUAACAUCACAAGUACUGGUAGCAUAACUCCUUUGUCAGGAACUAGUGGCAGUGUUAAUGCGGCUAUCUUGAGUGGGGUUGGCAAUGGCACAAGUACUUCCUCUGGUGCUGUCAGUCAUGGUGGAAAUCCAGUUGCAGGAGGAGCAGCAGCAUCUAGUCAUCUGCAGCCUGCAGCUAGCACAUCAAGGUUCAGAGUUGUGAAACUGGAUUCUAGUUCAGAACCUUUUAAGAAGGGUAGAUGGACAUGUACAGAGUUCUAUGACAAAGAGAACCCCUUGCCAGUUACAGAAGGAGUAGCUGCAAAUAAAGCGGUAGACACUCUAAAACAAAACCCGCUUGAAGUGACUUCUGAAAGGGAGAGCACUAGUGGGAGUUCAGUUAGUAGCAAUGUAAGCACACUGAGUCACUAUACAGAAAGUGUGGGAAGUGGGGAGAUAGGAGCCCCGACUGUGGUACAGCAGCAAGCAUUUCCGGGCGCAGGUUCUCAGCAGAUGGAUUUUGGCAGUACUGGCCCUCAACCUGCGCCAGCACCUAGUAUAUCCCAGAGUGUUUCUCAGGUGCAGCUUGCACAGGUGCAGUUUCAUCCUCAAGAUGUAAAUUACCCUCAGCAAAAGCAAGGGGUCCAGCCUCCUGCAUCAGCUAUUCCUCCUCCAGUAAAUUUAGUAGGUGGCCAGCAGCAGCCUGCCAUGCCAACCAUGGCACAGCAGCUGCCAUUCACCACCCAAUCAACACAACCUGUGCAGACGGUUCCAGUUGUGCCACAAUCGCAGCAAUUACCAUAUGGGCAAGGACAGGCACAGCACCCAACACCACCACAACAGAUGCCUAUGCAGAUGGCUCCAGGGCAUGUUAGACCAGUGAAUCAAAAUUCUGUCACAGGGCCUAUGCCAGAUUAUGUACAACAGCAGCAGAUGCUUCCGGCUCCAGCUUCUUCUAUGCAGCCUGGUCCUACAGUGGUAGGAACAGGUACCCCUGUGCCUGUUGCUCAGGCACCAAGUAUGCAGCCUUCUGUACAAGCAAACUUGACAGUAGCAUCCUCUCAGCCUGUUACACAUGCUCAGACAGCAGUGCCAAUUGUGGGAGCUAGUGCUCAAAUGGUGAAUGUUGGACAACAAGGAAAUGUACCUCCUGAGGUGCAGCAACCACCUGUUGCAAACCAAAUUGCCCCUUCAGUGAUGCCGCAGAGUGCUGCUCCUCCAUCUUCCCAAGCUGUGCCCCCUGUUCCAACAGGCAUUAUUAAUCCUGGGUCGCAAGGUAGCACAUCAAGCCUUCCUCAGCCCUUGGUUAUUACUCCACAGAGUACUUUGUUACCAGUACAGAAAGCAGAAUCUCUUGCUCAAGGAAUGGCUGGCCAACAGUUGCCUGCUGUUAGUCCUGUACCUUCUGUUAGUGCUGUUCCUGUCCCAUGUCAUUCUGCUGCAAAUGUGCCCCCUAUGCCUAUGAGUUUGCCUCCUUUAAAGAACAUAGCACAAUCUUCAGGUUUGCAAAAUGGGAACUUGAUCCAAAAUGCACCUCAGCCUUCCUUGAUAUCUACUAGCAUCAAUUUGCCUUUAGCCCAAAAUGUACCACAACAGGUACCACUGAACUCUACCCAGUUCUCUGUCCAAUCUGUUGCUCAGUCAAUUACAACUCGAGGUGAAGACUCCAGGCGCUCUACAGAACCCACCUUGGUUGGCCUACCCCAACUGACCAGCAGUGAAAGUGGUGCUGGAGCAUCAUCAACCAUUUCAGAUGGGGGCAGCAGCAUGGCAUCCUCUCUUUUCCCCUUUAAGGUACUUCCGCUGACAACGCAACUUGUUGAUGGUGAGGAUGAGAGAUACAGAAUGACUGAGUCUAACAUUGCACAGUAGUAUGCCCAUGAAGAGGCACUACCAAAGUUAAUUAUGUCUAGAGCAAAAGCUGGGAGGUCUGACUGAGCCAAGCAGAUUCCUCAUUUCUUGAUCUUUGAUCGCCCAAUUAUCUCUCAUGAUGUUUCAGCUUUCUACCUCAGCAUUACUACUACUUCCAUUGGAACAACACAAAUUUUGAUUGUUCCAUACAGUGUGCCUAGCCAUGGCGUAGCUCAUUCAACCCACAAUGCUGGUAAAGACAUUAAGAGAAGAUUCUGAUGUCCCAUGUAAAAGUAAUGCUUCAGACAUGAAGUUGCUGUUGGAGAACUGGGCAUGUUUGAAACAAAUAGUUUUAUGAAGUGUUACAAUGCCAUUUUCUAUACAGCCACUGUUUAGAGUAAGAAUAUAUUUAUACAUUAAAAUAUCAAUGUUAAUUACAAAGUCAUUCUCUUCAGUGGAUGUGUACCAUCUGGCUAGAAUUAAAAACUUUUAGCACAUUUCUGAUUGUAUAAAGAAGGCAACAUUUCAUCAUCACUUACUUUAUUUGAGUUCUCUAUAGAAGAUAAACAUCUGGAGAAAUAAUGAAGAACGAGGGGUAAAAGGAGUCAUUAGUGAAUUUGCUAAAUCCAAUUUGAAGAAUGCAGAUAGAAUGACUGGAUAGCACUGUCAAACAGUACUUGAAAGGGUUUCUUUUAGAAUUCUGGUCUCCUUGGAACUGGGAACUAGGGGGAACCCCUACCACCACCAGAAAUAAAAAGAAGCAAAAAUAAAGUCCUGCAGGACUUGGACUGUUGUAUGGAACAGCAAGGAUGGCAAGCAUAGCUGAAGAAUCAAAGAAGACUGACUCUUCUGGAAACCAUUUGUAGUCUCCAAAGUGAAUGGCAUCCUGGUUUUUAAUAUCAUCCCAGAAUAAUUUUAAUAUUGGACAAAAACAUUUUAGUGUUUUGAGCAGAAACAUCUAUGUUGAUACUUUUAGGGUGUGGAAAUUUUUUUCAUCAGUCUAAAUAAUACUUUGAAAAUACUUAAUGAACUCCCAUCCUUGCAAGGUAUCACCAUCAGAGGAACUGUAUUAUUGCUAAUAAAUUUUUACAACUUUUAAAGCCAUAUGAAACAUGCUUUGUGAUUGGUCUGUAGACCUGUGUAAUUUUAUUUGCAUUUUGCAAAUUUAAACAUGGAAGCUGAUUAUUUGUUUUUGUAAAAGAAGAUACAAUAAUAAUAACUUACUUGUCUACCUUCUUAACAGGAAGUUUUGUUGUUAAUCUAAAAUAUUAUCAGACUAGGGGCUGUAUCCAAUGCUGCCGUUCUGCUUGCACAACAGACUUCAGCUUAUGCAACGAAACUUCCUGCUCCUUUCACUUGCAGCUCCCCAUGCACCCUCAAAAUCUGGACCAGAUUUGGGGGGGGGGGGCGCAGAGAUGAGAGGAAGGGGAAAUCCGGUUGUGUGAACAGAACCCAUAGCUUAUAUCAGAAGAAAUAAAA